rnacentral:lncRNA from 1 species
AAAAAAUAUAAAGGAAUGAGGUUACCCGAUAGGCGUGAUUAAUGCAACACAGUUAGUGGGACUACUCCUUCUUUCAGUUUUGGCUCGAUCUUGUAGUGCCUUCAAAAUUUAUGCGGUUCCUACAAAGAAAAUUUUAAAACACACAAAUAUAUAUAGAAAAUACUAAAUCCUAACUAAUUAAAAAAAUGAAAAAAAAAUUAAAUAUCACCCCAAAUAAAAUAAAGUACAAAUUUCACAAAUAAAAAUGUUUUGACUCCACCAUCACCUGUGCUUUGCCCCUAUCGCGCCCUACCGACGUUUUAGUAGCCCAUCUUCCCGAAGUCUGAGCCGGGUUGUGAUGGCUCGAGUCGAG